CUACCAAAAGCUAAAUUUGUGGGAAAGGUUUUAAAAUAACCUUAACCAACUCAGGCUAUUUGGCAGAAUGAGUAUGACCACACUUCACAGUGAGCUGUACCACUUAGUAUAUAGUUCAUUACUAUCUUGUGGCCUACAUU